rnacentral:tRNA from 1 species
GAAAUAUUCUAAGUACUUGUUUUGAAUUCAAGGAAUAAAGUAAAAUUUGCUUGUGUUUCU